GUUUGGGUACUUUGAAAGAAACACAGUUUAAAUGACCCCACCCCUUUUUCAACAAUUUUUACACACGUUUAGUCACUAUAAUAGAUGCACACGCCGAUUCAUGGUAUCAUAAUUUUAAAUAAUCAGCAUAUAAAUAACAGGGUACCAACGUGUGGAAGUGAAGUACAGGCGUCACUGUGAGUCCGUACGUCAUUCUAGGGGCCCCGAGAAGAUUCCUCCCUGCCAGUAGGCUAAUUCAUUUCUCUCUCUCUCUCUCUCUCUCUCUCUCUCUCUCUCUCUCUCUCUCUCUCUCUCUCACACACACACACACACACACACACACACACACACACUCACAAACACACAGCUCUCCACUCUCUCUCUCUCUCUCACACACACACACACACACAGACACACUGCUCACGGCAGUUGUAACACCCCAAUGAAAUCAGAAAUCAGACACCCCAUCAUUUCCAGUUCAUACAAUCAUUCCCAGUCACUGAGUAACCCUACACUCAUGAUAAUAAAGAUUUUGACAACUGUCUGGAGCCAAGGAAGCAAAGCAAGUUUGGUGUGUGUGUGUGUGUGUGUGUGUGUGUGUGUGUGUCAGAGUCACAAUGACCCUAAAGUCGUGCUCUCUGCAUGUCCAAUGAGCCGCCAAAUCUUACAUAACUUGUGGCUAUAAUUUUAUUUCUCGUGGGAACUUCUCCAUUUGUAGCUAGGAUUUAACCUUAUAGUGGCCCCUAAGUGAAAACAGUUGUAUUAUUUAGUUACCUAGGUGUAAAACUGGCAUUAUUUUAAACCAAGUCUCGCUGUUACCUGGCUAUAAUCUCGCUGUGAUUAUGAUCCCGUUAUGCCCUUUGAUGUAAAAAAAAAGAAAAAAGGAAUGUAAUCUCUCAAAUUCAAUUCAAUUUUUAAGUGAAAUAUUAUCACCACUCAUGACUAGGUUGUAUAUAGUAUACUUAAUUAAUGUAAUGUCUGUAUUAAUGUAACGAAUCAAUAUUCCUGUUUUUGUAGCAAUAAAACCCUGGAGUUCACACAAAUUGGUAGGUAACAUAUAAUGAUGGCCUCAAAUACGACGACUUGGCUUGCAUUCAUUUGUGCAUAUGUAAAGUUGGUCAAUGAAAGCGCACGAGGGCAGCGAAAGUUGGUAAAGGCCAUGCUGCCAUAAUGCCAUUGAAUAAACAUAACUAAUCGAGACUGCAUUGAAUUAAUCAAAACAUUUAUUUUGUACAAAGAUUAACAUGGUUACAUAACAUCAUCGUAUAAGAGCCAAAUGGUUCAGAGGAAUGAGAAGAUGAGCUAUCAUUAAAUUCAUUUCUGUCGCUUCUGAGCUGACCACAAGGGAAAAAACGGUGUAAAGGCCUAAAUCCUGGGUGACACACGGCCCUUUAUACACUCCACUACAUCAUGAACUUCCCUCAUCCAAACAACAUGUAGUGUCAUGACGCAACACUCACGAGGGACUCCAAACAUGUUUUUUUGGUUUAUUAAUAGAAAUAGCAUUUUACCUGAAACGUGACACUUGAGAGAGUGCAGGGAUGUAAUGCUUUUUUUCUUAAUUAAAGUGAACAUAUCAUGAGCCUCAUAUUAGAGAUCAUGUCUUGUGUAUCAGGUCUUACUUAUUAGUUGUCAUCAUAUAAGUUAUAUCCUGUAGCCUAGUAAAGGUGCAGAGAAGUUCUAUGAAAGGUUCCUCACGCAGACUUAUUCAGGUCGUCUCUCCCCUGUGCUUUCAAUUCUUAAAUACUAUUUUCUAGCCUGACAAAGUAAGAGAAGUAGCUCAAAAUAUAUGUAUUGUUUUGGGGUUUGUUUUUUUAAACUAUACUCUACCAUAGCGUAUGAGUGUCAUGUGAGUUAAUUACAGAUGAUCUACUCUGCUGUGUUUCAAAAAAGGGAAAGGAAAAAAGAAAAAAACUUUCAGCAAUUAUUGCAUCAUCAUAUUAGGCGCACUAACAAAUAUCAGAUAAUUAUAUUGUAUUUUUUUCUAAGAAUAUAGUUGAAAUGUGAGAUAAUGACACACGCGCAUCCUCCGAUAUGUGAGCGCACACACCAACCCCUGUGUGUCCAUACGGGCACAGCACACACACACACACUCAUUUGCUGUUGUCUGAGAAGUGGAAACCUUUGUGUGUGUGAGUGUGUGUGUGUCUCUCUCUCUCUCUCUCUCUCUCUCUCUCUCUCUCUCUCUCUCUCUCUCUCUCUCUCUCUCUCUCUCUGUGUGUGUGUGUGCAUGUGUGUGUGCAGAGGAAAUGUCGUUAUUCGUGACUCGGUAAAGUGCAGAACUUUGUCACAGCUUUCUAUAUUUAUACAGAAGAAAAAAGAUAUGGAUGUCAUCUAUGUGAUGAUAUAUAUAUAUUAUAUAUAUGAUGAUGUAUACGUAUACUGUAUGUGUCGUAUACUGUAUGUGAUGAUGUGAGCGAAGGGAAGUAGUCUGUACUGUUCAUUCAAGCUUUUGGCCAUCCAGCAACUGCUAAAUACGGUAGACUUUGCACAUUAUAUCUGCAUUCAAGGCUAAACUGUGUUUUUUUUUUUUUGUAGGGUUUUACAAAAACAUUUGGAAGGAGUCUAGUCACUACAGACAUCUCAGAGUCUUCUUCAUGCUGCCCCAUGCACAUUAUUCACCUCCAUGGUGAAACCUGGAAGUCUGAAGAUCCACAGAUGUCAUCUGAGGCACCACCUACAAUUUUCUGCUUCUAUUAUCAGUAAAUGGACAUUUCCGUGUGCCAAGCAUCCUGUCGCAGUACCAUAUCGCGUUUCUACAGAGAGCACAGAGAGCAAGACAGAGGAAGGGACGAUGGUGGGCAUGUGCUGAGAUUCAGAAUGAAGUGGAUGAAUCAGUCAACACAGCUAGGAAACCAUUAAAGAAAAUCCACAAGAAGUUGGAUCUGCCUUGCGCAAUCUCUUUAUCUCAGCUCCAUAUGUCAAGAGGCCAUCUCUGCAGCUUAAUCACGGAACAAGAUGACAGAGUCUUAACAGAUAUUUAUACUUCUGUUUCUAAAAGCUCUGAUAUGCAUGGAUAUCUCUAUUACUCUAUUGUAAUUGGUGGACAUUGUAGUCUUUAUCAUUUUAUGGAAUCAUGUUUAGUGUCAUGUCAGUUUAGAGAGACUAGGAGAGAGGGCCUACCAGGUUGUAAUCUAGAGCAUAUAACAAAAAUGAAAGAUUAAAUAAAUACAUGCAGAGUUGCUUAAAGCUAUUUUUAGAGUUUUAUUUCUUAUUUCUCAGACAUCUACACCUGUUGAAAGGUGACAGUUUCACACACACUGUAAGCCCAUUAUUUGAAUCUGACACCAAGUUCUGUUGUACUACAAACUGUUGAAGGGGCUCUGCUAAAACUGAGUGUAUUAAUAGAAAAGUGUGGCUUUAGGGUGAUCUGACUGUGUAAUUAUAUGGUAGAUGUAGGACAACAUGACCAUCCUGAGCAGCCAUUUCAAUAAAAGGAGAAUGCCAAAUGUGACUUUUGUUGCAUGUGAGAGAUAUUUAGUAUGUCAAGGCAUAUGCUUGAGCAUGAAGGUGUGCACCCAUAAAUAGUGUGUACAAGUAUAUGCAGAAGUGUGCCUGUAAAAGAGAGUGUAUGUAUUUGUGCAUGUGCCUGUGUCUGAGUCCGUCUGUUAGCCUUAGUCAUAGAACGUAAGUCCCUGUGUAUUAGUGAAAGAUCAUACAGUAAGGUUAUCACAUGAGUGUGCCAAUAAUUACGUGUGUGUGUGUGUGUGUGUGUUUCUUGGUGUCUGUGUUGGCUGUCACAUUUCUUACAAAUUUUGGAGUUGAAUGUGUUCAGGAUGUGUGGGAUUUAAAACCUUACAGAAAGUAUUGUAAAUGAAUGACACCAUUAUAACUGUAUUUUACUUAAUAUUUUAUUUGUAUUGGAAAAAGGCUGGCUCUCAUCAGUUAGAAAUAAGUGCAUUUGCCAUGCUGUCUUUCAGCUCGUCCAGAGCAGAUUUGUGAUUUUUAGACGUUUUCAGCAGCUUGACAUUUGCAGUGUUUAUAAACAAAACUGCCACUUGCAUGAAGUAGUGAUCACUGCAUUCCCAUUACAUGGGUUAGAAGAAAUGUAAAUAUGUAUAACCAUGUGACUGUACCAUUAAGUUGACCCUUAUAAGCAAUCAGUGUUUAUAUUUAGCUAUACUGAGUUGCUAAAAACAAUCUCUUGUUCAGAAAUGAACUGUAAGGAUGUCCGAAAUAAUGUUCAAAAUAAUGUAUUGUGAUUAUUUAUUAUAUAAAAGCCAGGUUUCGUGUUUAUUUUUUGCAUUAAUGAUUUAGAUGAUUAUACAUAAGCAUGAAUGUUAUAUGUCUGUCAAGUAUUAUAUAUAAGUAUAUAUACAAGUAUGUGCUGUGUGUGUGUGUGUGUGUGUGUGUGUGUGCGCGUGCACGUGUGUGUGUGUGUGUGUGCACGUGUGUGUAUGCCUGAAUGUGUGUGAAGUUUGAUGUAUUCGCGAUUUGCAAGCAGAAUUCUCAGUUGAGUGUGUAUGCCAUGUAUCAUGACUCAGAAUGUAUAGUGGAAUAUAAGGAGGCUGUAAGUGCUUGUAUGUAAAGACAAAC